rnacentral:rRNA from 1 species
GCGAACGCUGGCGGCGUGGAUAAGGCAUGCAAGUCGAGCGAUCUGCCGCAAGGCAGAUAGCGGCAAACGGGUGAGUAACGCGUAGGUAACCUACCCUGAAGAGUGGGAUAACCCAACGAAAGAUGGGCUAAUACCACAUGUGUCUCCUGGACCGCAUGGUUCGGGAGGGGAAGAUGGCCUCGACCGCAAGGUUGCUAUCACUUCAGGAGGGACCUGCGUCCCAUCAGCUAGUUGGUAGGGUCACGGCCUACCAAGGCGUAUGACGGGUAGCUAGCCUUAGAGGACGGUUAGCCACACUGGGACUGAGACACUGCCCAGACUCCUACGGGAGGCUGCAGUCGAGAAUCUUUGGCAAUGGGCGAAAGCCUGACCAUGCGACGCCGCGUGCGGGAUGAAGGCCUUCGGGUCGUAAACCGCUGUUGCGAGGGACGAAAGUUUGUGCUGUAAACAACAGCGCAAGCCUGACGGUACCUCGAUAGAAAGCCCCGGCUAACUCCGUGCCAGCAGCCGCGGUAAUACGGAGGGGGCGAGCGUUGCUCGGAUUUACUGGGUGUAAAGGGCACGUAGGCGGUCUUGUAAGCCCUGCCUUAAAGGCUCUGGCUCAACCAGAGCAGGCGGUAGGGGACUGCAGGACUUGAGGAUGGGAGAGGUAAGCGGAAUUCCCGGUGUAAGGGUGAAAUCUGUAGAUAUCGGGAGGAACACCAGUGGCGAAGGCGGCUUACUGGCCCAUUUCUGACGCUGAGGUGCGAAAGCUAGGGGAGCAAACAGGAUUAGAUACCCUGGUAGUCCUAGCCGUACACGAUGGACACUAGGUGUUGGCUCCGUUCAGGAGUCAGUGCCGCAGGUAACCCGAUAAGUGUCCCACCUGAGGGAGUACGGC